rnacentral:rRNA from 1 species
UACGGAGGGUGCGAGCGUUGUCCGGAUUUAUUGGGUUUAAAGGGUGCGUAGGCGGCGCGUUAAGUCAGCGGUGAAAUGUCCCGGCUCAACCGGGGGACUGCCGUUGAUACUGGCGUGCUUGAGUUACGGAGGGGUACAUGGAAUUUAUGGUGUAGCGGUGAAAUGCAUAGAUACCAUAAGGAACACCGAUAGCGUAGGCAUUGUACCGGCCGUAAACUGACGCUGAGGCACGAAAGCGUGGGUAGCGAACAGGAUUAGAAACCGUGUAGUCC